GACGGGGGCCCGCACAAGCGGAGGAACAUGUGGUUUAAUUCGAUGAUACGCGAGGAACCUUACCCGGGCUUGAACUGCAGGAGAAGGAUACAGAGAUGUUGACGCCCUUCGGGGCUCCUGUGGAGGUGCUGCAUGGUUGUCGUCAGCUCGUGCCGUGAGGUGUCGGCUUAAGUGCCAUAACGAGCGCAACCCUUUUCGUCAGUUGCCAUCAGGUGAUGCUGGGCACUCUGGCGACACUGCCACCGUAAGGUGUGAGGAAGGUGGGGAUGACGUCAAAUCAGCACGGCCCUUACGUCCGGGGCUACACACGUGUUACAAUGGGGCAUACAGAAGGCCGGUGCAUGGCAAUGUGCAUCCAAUCUUAAAAGUGCUCCUCAGUUCGGAUUGGGGUCUGCAACCCGACCCCAUGAAGCUGGAUUCGCUAGUAAUCGCGCAUCAGCCAUGGCGCGGUGAAUACGUUGCCGGGCCUUGUACACACCGCCCGUCAAGCCAUGAAAGCCGGGGGCGCUUGAAGUCCGUGGCCGCGAGGGUCGGCCUAGUUUUAAACCGGUGAAAGG
rnacentral:rRNA from 1 species